rnacentral:misc_RNA from 1 species
AACUUUUGGCAAUUGAUCACUUGGCUCUCGCAUCGAUGGAGAACGCAGCGAAAUGCGAUAAGUAAUGUGAAUUGCAGAAUUCAGUGAAUCAUCGAAUCUUUGAACGCAUCUUGCGCUCCUUGGUAUUCCGAGGAGCAUGCCUGUUUGAGUGUCAUUUGACUUCUCUCAACCACAUCGUCUUUUCGAUUGUGGCUUGGAUGUGGGGGGAUUUGCAGGCUAACUAACUGACAAGCCGGCUCCCCUGAAAUGCAUUAGUGGUAAUCUGAGCUGCUAUUGGUGUGAUAAUUUAUCUAUGCCUUUGGUACAGGACCGCUUAUAAACAACACAAAAAAUCAUUUGACAAAUUUGACCUCAAAUCAGGUAGGACUACCCGCUGAACUUAAGCAUAUCAAUAAGCGGAGGCU